rnacentral:rRNA from 1 species
AGCUCCAAUAGCGUAUAUUAAAGUUGUCGCAGUUAAAAAGCUCAUAGUUGGAUUUCUGGCAGGAGCGACCGGUCACACACUCUGUGUGUGAACUUGUGUUGUCUUUGACCAUCCUUGGGGAGAUCCUGUUUGGCAUUAAGUUGUCGGGCAGGGGAUACCCAUCGUUUUACUGUGAGAAAAUUAGAGUGUUUAAAGCAGGCUUAUGCCGUUGAAUAUAUUAGCAUGGAAUAAUAAGAUAGGACUUCAGAACUAUUUUGUUGGUUUGCGUUACGAAGUAAUGAUUCAUAGGGACAGUUGGGGGUAUUCGUAUUUUAUUGUCAGAGGUGAAAUUCCUGGAUUUCUGAAAGACGAACUACUGCGAAAGCAUUUACCAAGGAUGUUUUCA